GUGAGUUUUGCAAAGCUUGUUUAAGUGCAUCCAUACUAGACUGACACUCCGAGGUCCACUCCCACUUAACACCUUUCUUUUUUAGGUGGUUUAAAGGGGCAGCGAUGUCAGCGAAAUGGGGUAUAAACUUAUGAUACCACCCUGCCAAUCCCAGAAAUCUUUGCAAAGCUUUGAGAUCUUGUGGGAUUGGGAACUCUGCAACCGCACUGGUCUUUUCUCGGUCAAUCUCCACUCCCCUCUCAGAGACUAUAUGGCCGAGGAAUUUGAGCUGUCGCUUGAAGAAGUGGCAUUUCUUCAUGUUCAACGUCAGACAGAACUCUCUCCAUCAGACGCUGGAAGUAUCCAGACUGCAGAUCCAAGGAACUAAACCAAGAGGCUCCUUCCAGUGAUUCAAGGAUGUCGUGGAUCAACGGCAUUGGAUAAGCGUCUGCCACUGUCUUGCUGUUCAACCUCCUAUAAUCCACGCAGAACCUGUGUGAGCCAUCAGGUUUGGGGACAAGUACCACCGGUGAAGACCAUGGUGAGAAAGAAGGUUCAAUGAUAUUGUCUCGCAACAUCUGAUCUACUUGCUCCUCUAUAAUCUGCUUUUUAAGAGGAGACACUCUGUACGCCCGGGAUUUGAGGGGUAUGUCAUCAGAUAAGGUGAUUCUGUGUUGUACAAUUGAGGUCUUACCCAGGUUGUUUGAGGUGGUGCGGGGCCAGGCAAAUAUCAACUUCAACAACUCCUCCUGAUUGUCCGAGUCCCAUAUAGUGCUCUCAGGGAGAAUGGAGAACAGUUCUGGAAGCCUCCCGGUGGAUGGUAUCGCAUAGUAUAAAUUCAGCUUUGCAUCCCUAUGAGGAAGAUCUUGACCCUCUGGGAUCCCCGGACCUGUUGGCAUCUGUGAUGGCAAGAAAGAGUAAUAGGUGUUUCCUUUUUCAGAUCUUAAUCCAUAUCUGCCUCGUCCCACUUCCAGGACUGCUCCCGUGUCUCUCAGGAAAUCCAACCCGGCAAUAAGAGGAAAUGCGAGAUCUCUGGACUGGUGAACUGUGCCGUCCGCCAUUAUAAACCUCUGUGGAGUGGAGGCACCAUCAGGAGAGAUGACACUGGAUGGGGUUGUGCUAGUGUCACUCCAGCCAGGUUUUUGUUAGAGACAUAGGGCCCGGUAGUCAUAUGCAAAGUCCCUCAGACGUUGUUGUGGCUGUUGAACCAUUGUCCUCAGCUUUUCCUCCACUUCUGAGAGCUCAGAGCAGGUCCCUUCAGCACCGUGCUUAAGGUUCCUAAGAGUUCUGCACUGGGGAGGGGCCGAAUCUCCAGGAAGUUCUCACAUUGUUCAAUGAAAUUGAGCACCUCCGCCGUAUCACAGGAGUCACCAAAAGAGGGGAAUUCGAGGCGGAUAGGAGGUCGGGCACAGAAUGAGGAUGAACCUGCCACUAAUGAAGGGAUACUCUAGCUGGGGUCGGUGGUUGAAGGACAGUGGAAAAUCGGGAGGUAUCUGGAUAAUGGGCCUGUAAUCUGGUGAGUGUGGGAGUGCUAGUGAGCCUUAAUUUUCUCAUUUGACUUUCCCAUUUCGCAUCUCUCCUCAGAAAACAAUUUGUCACAGCCCUUUCUAAUUUUUCCAGAGCAUCAGCAACAUAAUCUUCCAACUUUGCCAAGCUAGAAUCUACAGCCUGCCUGAAACUUGUUUCCCGAUUUAAUGUACUGUCCAUUGACUGUUUGAAAUCUUGUUCUAUGGUUUGUACUUUGUUAUCAAGGGCCAAUAAAUCAACUUUACAUUGAGUUAUUUCUGCUUGCAAUGAUUGUACCAUAUCAACAGUUUGUGUACAACUCUCAUCAUCAUCAUCAGAUUGUUCUGCAUCAGAAAGGUACAAUGAACUAAGCAUUGAAGUUAUUUCAGCAGUAGGAUUACGU